rnacentral:lncRNA from 1 species
CCCACUAGGAAGAGGAAGGCUCAGGCGCACAGGUGCCCAGAUACGGGGAGUGCCUUUAAAACACCCAGGCCCUCUGAUGAAAACCAACCUUAGGGAAGGGACCAUGCUACCAGAAUUCUGGGUGGUAGAACAUUAUGAAAAGGCCAUUGAGUAUGAUUGCAAGGAGGAACACGUAGAAUUUCUGUUGGUGAGAAAAAUAUGCUUUUCAAUCAUCUGACAAAGAUGGUGUUCCUGUCUAGGCUAUUUACACUGUACCACUGCCUGGGCCAAAGGGCUCAUCCAGGUUGGGAAGUGGAAUCCAGUUUUACUGUCCUAUGUGGUAGAUGCUCCUGAUGCUAUGGAAGCUUCAAGAUGCCUGUGCAUCAUGUGGUCACGCUCAAAAUCCAGUUACACAGUUGCCCCAAACUAGAAGACUUGUGCCCUGAACAGUGGCUGCACACCCCAGUAAAGAAUGCUCUGAAGGGUUAUUGAAAGAUAAGAGUCAGUUUGUUGGCCCAGGAGUGCCCCCUUUCACAGUUGGCAGGUGAUCUGUGAUUGAGUAUGGAUCAUUUGAACAAGGCAACUCAGGGGAGAGAAUGUUCAGAAUCAUCUAACAAUAUGAGUGAUCCAAAGGGUCCACCAGCCAAGAUCGCCCACCUGGAA